rnacentral:rRNA from 1 species
AUGAAGAGGACGAGCUCCCUGAAGUUGGCACCGAUGACCAAGAUGAGCCCGCUGAGGCCGAAAAUGAUGAAAACGAAGAUCUUUCUGAAGCCGACCGCAAAGACCACGACAUUGCAUGCACUAUUGCAGCUGCUCCGCGAAGGUGUUGACAUGCCUCAUCGGCUUGUUGACGAGGUCAGCACGAAUGAGGUCAUGGUCUUCAAGGUUGACGUUGAGAGGCAGAAGUUGGUGGAGCUAAGGGACAUUGGAGACCACGUGCUCUUCCUCGGUCUCAACGCUGCCGUAUGUGUUCCGACAAAUGAAUUUCCAGUGUUCAAACCAAAUUGCGCCUACCUCACAAACGAGGCUUCCUUGUACAACCCGAUGUUACAGAAAGAUCUUGGUAUCUGA